GAUGAACGCUGGCGGCGUGCCUAAUACAUGCAAGUCGAACGCAUGACAAGUGCUUGCACUUGUUGUGAGUGGCGAACGGGUGAGUAAUACAUAAAUAAUCUGCCUUUAUGAGGGGGAUAACUGCCGGAAACGGUGGCUAAGACCGCAUAGUUAAUGGAUGGGCAUCUAUCCAUUAUUAAAAGAGCUUCGGCUCUGCAUAAAGAUGAGUUUAUGGCGCAUUAGCUAGUUGGUGGGGUAACGGCCUACCAAGGCAACGAUGCGUAGCCGGCCUGAGAGGGUGAACGGCCACACUGGGACUGAGACACGGCCCAGACUCCUACGGGAGGCAGCAGUAGGGAAUUUUCGGCAAUGGGGGGAACCCUGACCGAGCAACGCCGCGUGAAGGAAGAAGGUCUUCGGAUUGUAAACUUCUGUUAUAUGGGAAGAAUAAGUUUAAUAGGAAAUGAUUAGAUGAUGACGGUACCAUAUCAGAAAGCCACGGCUAACUACGUGCCAGCAGCCGCCGUAACAC
rnacentral:rRNA from 1 species